rnacentral:rRNA from 1 species
UACGUAGGGGGCGAGCGUUGUCCGAAGUUACUGGGCGUAAAGCGCGCGUAGGCGGGAAAUUAAGUGAGAAGUGAAAGGCUGGGGCUCAACCUCAUGCAGUGCUUCUCAUACUGGUUUUCUUGAGGGCGGUAGAGAAAAGUGGAAUGGCUGGUGUAGCGGUGAAAUGCGUAGAUAUCAGUCGGAACACCGGUGGCGAAGGCGGCUUCUUGGGCCGUUCCUGACGCUGAGGCGCGAAAGCCAGGGGAGCGAACGGG